rnacentral:rRNA from 1 species
GCUUACGGCCACACCGGCCUGAGUACGCCUGAUCUCGUCCAUCUCGGACUAAGCAGUCGGGCCUGGUUACGCCACGGCCUGAGUACUCCUGUCCGGAAGCUAAGCAGGGUCGGGCCUGGUUAGUACUUGGAUGGGAGACCGCCUGGGAAUACCAGGUGCUGUAAGCU